UACGUAGGGUGCAAGCGUUGUCCGGAAUUAUUGGGCGUAAAGAGCUCGUAGGCGGUUUGUCGCGUCGGCUGUGAAAGCCCGGAGCUCAACUCCGGGUCUGCAGUCGAUACGGGGCAGACUUGAGUGUUGCAGGGGAGACUGGAAUUCCUGGUGUAGCGGUGAAAUGCGCAGAUAUCAGGAGGAACACCGGUGGCGAAGGCGGGUCUCUGGGCAA
rnacentral:rRNA from 1 species